GAGAGUAUGACAGAAUUCUUCAAGUUAGACAGUGGUAAACAGCUGAACAUGGACAUCCCCCCAACCCUCAUGAAAACAGCCUGACUUUGAACAAGAGAAGGAAAUCACCAAUGAUGAGGCAUUGGCAUGACCAAGGCUGAUCUCACAAAUAAUUUGGGAACUAUUAACAAGUUCUGUCAUAAAGCAUUUAUGGAGGCUCUUCAGGCUGGUGCAGACAUCUUCAUGAUUAGGCAAAUAGUUUGGUGUUUACUUUUAUUCUGCCUAUCUGGUGACUGAUAGAGUGGUUGUGAUCAUAAAGCACAAUGAUGAUGAACAGUAAGCCUGGGAAUCUUCUGCCAGGUAUUCCUUUACUGUAUAUGCUGACCAUGUUGAGCUCAUUGGUAGUGGUACCAAAGUGAUCCUCUGCCUUAAAGAAGACCAGACAGAGUACUUAUAAGAGAGUUGCGUCAAAGAAAUAGUAAAGAAGGACUUGAAGUUCAUAGGCUAUUCUAUUACCUUUUAUUUGGAAAAGGAAUAAGAGAAAUAAAUCACUAAUGAUGAGGUUGAGGAAGAGAAAGGUGAGAAAGAAAAAGAAAAAGAUGAUGAAGAAAAGCCCAAGAUUGAAGAUAUGGCUUCAGAUGAAGAGGAUGACAGUGGUAUGG
rnacentral:lncRNA from 1 species